AGCACCAGGAAAAUAUUUCCGGCAUUCUUGCCACAGAAAGGACACGGUUUGAUGCAAGGUUCGAUGUCUCCAGUGGAAUUGCCAUUGGCACAUAGCAUCUCAUCUUGAUUUCACCCCCAGGAAAGCUGGCAUGUUAUGGAGGGGGCCCGGGAAAGAACUACUGACCAGAUGAAUGAUAGUCAUAAAAAAAAAAAAGCUGGCUUGCA